AAUGCACCGGAUCCCAUCAGAACUCCGCAGUUAAGCGCGCUUGGGCUAGAGUAGUACUGGGAUGGGUGACCUCCCGGGAAGUCCUAGUGUUGCACCCU
rnacentral:rRNA from 1 species